rnacentral:misc_RNA from 1 species
GCGGUUUGGAUGUGGGGGUUUGCUGGCCUUUAUGGAAGGUUCAGCUCUCCUGAAAUGCAUUAGCGGAACAACCUGUUCAUUCAUUGGUGUGAUAACUAUCUACGCUAUUGAGUGCGAGGCAGUUCAGCUUCUCAACCGUCUUUGGACAAUUUAUCAUUUUAUGUGACCUCAAAUCAGGUAGGACUACCCGCUGAACUUAA